UGCACACACCGCCCGUUCCGAAAAGCCGUGGGUCGCAGAAAGCUGCCGGCCGGGUGAAGUUCGAAUAAUCAGUCGCGCGGUCCGUCCGCGUGCCCAAUCCCCAUCAUUUGGCACCGACGCCGCCAGCGACCGAUAUUGGUCCU
rnacentral:rRNA from 1 species